rnacentral:rRNA from 1 species
CUACGGGUGGCUCCAGUGAGGAAUAUUGCACAAUGGAGGAAACUCUGAUGCAGCAACGCCGCGUGGAGGAUGACGCAUUUCGGUGUGUAAACUCCUUUUAAGAGGGAAGAUAAUGACGGUACCUCUUGAAUAAGCACCGGCUAACUCCGUGCCAGCAGCCGCGGUAAUACGGAGGGUGCAAGCGUUACUCGGAAUCACUGGGCGUAAAGGGUGCGUAGGCUGACUUUUAAGUCAGGUGUGAAAUCCAAUGGCUCAACCAUUGAACUGCACUUGAAACUGGGAGUCUAGAGUUCAGAAGGGGCAGAUGGAAUUAGUGGUGUAGGGGUAAAAUCCGUAGAUAUCACUAGGAAUAUCAAAAGCGAAGGCGAUCUGCUGGGAUGAUACUGACGCUGAGGCACGAAAGCGUGGGGAGCAAACAGGAUUAGAUACCCGUGUAGUC